UCUUGGGUUGUAAACCUCUUUUCUCAGGGAAUAAGUACUGAAGGUACCUGAAGAAUCAGCAUCGGCUAACUCCGUGCCAGCAGCCGCGGUAAUACGGAGGAUGCAAACCUUUAUCCGGAAUUUUUGGGCGUAAAGCGUUCGGAGGUGGCUCAUCAAGUCGGCGGUCAAAGAGUCUGGCUUAACCAGAUAAAGGCAGUGGAAACUGAAAAGCUAGAGAAUGGUAGGGGUAGAGGGAAUUCCUGGUGUAGCGGUGAAAUGCGUAGAGAUCAGGAAGAACACCGGUGGCGAAAGCGCUCUGCUGGACCAUAACUGACACUGAGGGACGAAAGCUAGGGGAGCGAAUGGGAUUAGAUACCCC
rnacentral:rRNA from 1 species